CCCUUCGGGGUACUCGAGUGGCGAACGGGUGAGUAACACGUGGGUGAUCUGCCCUGCACUUUGGGAUAAGCCUGGGAAACUGGGUCUAAUACCGAAUAUGACCGCGCACUUCCUGGUGUGUGGUGGAAAGCUUUUGCGGUGUGGGAUGGGCCCGCGGCCUAUCAGCUUGUUGGUGGGGUAAUGGCCUACCAAGGCGACGACGGGUAGCCGGCCUGAGAGGGUGACCGGCCACACUGGGACUGAGAUACGGCCCAGACUCCUACGGGAGGCAGCAGUGGGGAAUAUUGCACAAUGGGCGCAAGCCUGAUGCAGCGACGCCGCGUGAGGGAUGACGGCCUUCGGGUUGUAAACCUCUUUCAAUAGGGACGAAGCGCAAGUGACGGUACCUAUAGAAGAAGGACCGGCCAACUACGUGCCAGCAGCCGCGGUAAUACGUAGGGUCCGAGCGUUGUCCGGAAUUACUGGGCGUAAAGAGCUCGUAGGUGGUUUGUCGCGUUGUUCGUGAAAACUCACAGCUUAACUGUGGGCGUGCGGGCGAUACGGGCAGACUAGAGUACUGCAGGGGAGACUGGAAUUCCUGGUGUAGCGGUGGAAUGCGCAGAUAUCAGGAGGAACACCGGUGGCGAAGGCGGGUCUCUGGGCAGUAACUGACGCUGAGGAGCGAAAGCGUGGGGAGCGAACAGGAUUAGAUACCCUGGUAGUCCACGCCGUAAACGGUGGGUACUAGGUGUGGGUUUCCUUCCUUGGGAUCCGUGCCGUAGCUAACGCAUUAAGUACCCCGCCUGGGGAGUACGGCCGCAAGGCUAAAACUCAAAGAAAUUGACGGGGGCCCGCACAAGCGGCGGAGCAUGUGGAUUAAUUCGAUGCAACGCGAAGAACCUUACCUGGGUUUGACAUGCACAGGACGCCAGUAGAGAUAUUGGUUUCCCUUGUGG
rnacentral:rRNA from 1 species